rnacentral:lncRNA from 1 species
GUUUGUAAAAGGGACUGCUAACGUUUCACAGAAAAGAAAUGGGACAUCCAGGACUUGACAGGCCACAUAGCUAGUAAGUAGCACAACCAGAAUUAAAACCCAGAGCUGUGUAGCUCCAAAAUAUGUACAGAAAAUAUUGCUAUAAAUUUCCCUUAAAUUCACACGUGUAGGAGUAAGUUCGCCAUUUGACAACUCACCUCAUCCUAACAAACAAACUAGGAAUCAGUAUCACAGCUGACUGAAUUACUGGGGCUUCUACAUGGGGCUGAGCAGGCUGCUUCCCAAGAGGAGGUCGCCCAGGGCACCCUCAGAGGCUCCGCGGGCGCCCCCUCACGCUGCCGGCCAGAACUGCAGCGGAGCCCCGCACCGGUGCUGAAUACCGGACUGAGACGCCCCCCUCACCAUCACCGAGAAACCACAGACCUCAGGCGACUCAAACAUCUGCAAAUCUGAGCGGCUCUGACUGUGGGGUUAGCAGCACACGUCCUCCCGUCGUAAGAAGCACCUGGCAUGGUUGGUCCCUUGCUAAAGGAAGAUCAGGUUCCAGGCACUUGCAUACUCGUGUCCAGAGAGGGAGCCGUCCGUUGUGUGAGCCUCCCCAUCCCCAAGGAGCUGUGUACAGGAUUCAACAGAGGGAAUGGGGUGGAAUAACGAAGAGAAGUCAUCGGGGAAAGGAUGUAGUAUUUUCACUGAAGCAGAGUGCAGUCCACAGCCAAAGCGGAAAGCUGGAAGUGGGUGGGCCGGCCGCAGAGGGCCCUGUCUCCAAGCACGCCAAGAAGAGCGGACCUCGUCCUGUGGGCAGGACGACCCAGAGCAAGACAGUGUUCAAAGAACAACGUUUGAAGAUGGAGCUGAGGCUUCCCUUCCCAUGCCCUGUUCCACGACUCUGCCCUCCCACCACGAUAGCUUCCCCCAGGGAAUGAAAACAUCCAGGGUGCCAAAGCAAAAGGACACAGGGAACAUCACUAGGCACCAGUCACACAACCCACGGAUAAAUCAUUCAAAACAGUUGUGAUCGUAGGUCACAAUGUGACGUUCUGGCAGAUCACUAAUUGAAAAUAUAAAAUAAAACUCAUUCCUAUCUACUCAGUUUUUUUAAAAGUACCUCAGUGUUUAUGAUCAUAAAAAUAUAAAGAGAAAAUUGAUGUUGAACUCCAGCAAAAGGAAAUACUCAUAUAAAUAGAGAAAAUAAUUUAUAAAGUUUCAUCUGUCAUUGAGAUGUAUUUCCAAUGAGUGUGCAUUUUUAUAAGAUUUGUGACAUAUUCAUGUUCUUUUCUGUACUAAAUAUUAUAAUAUGACUUUUUUUUAAUAUGUAGAGACUUAUGGCUACAUUUAAAUGUGAAACAUUUCAAGGCUUUACCUGUGAGCACUCAGCUUGAGGGUAACAGACCAAACCUUAGGACAAAGUGCAGUCCAACUGGGUAGGGCUAAGCCAAAGAGGGGAGUUCAGGGAGCACAAUAGCAGAGUUAGGAGAAGCAGGUGAAGCAUUUUGUCCCCUGAGAGGAGAAGCAGCAUCCCAGGGACUGAACAGGAUGGGUAGAAGUGGGGACAAUUAUGGACAAUUAUGCUGCAGGUGACACUGCCUUCCUGACUCCACCCUCCGAAGGACAGGGCUAAGCUCAGAGCAGCAGACUCCCCACAGCUUGAGUGGGUUGGUGGAGUACUGGGACUGUGUGUCCCUACCAUAUCACCUGCAGUGCACAGACAUGGCCUCUCCUCCAGCCUGGGUGAGGAGGCUAGGGUGUGAUCUCAAGCUCUCCCAAACCUCUUCCUGCGUAUGACUUGUAAUUCCACGCUUAGUAUUUACCUAAGUCAUGAAGAUACAUGUCUAUACCAAGCCUUGUAUAGAAUGUUCUUAGCAGCUGUUUUUCAUAAUGGUCCCAGACUAGAAACCACUCUGGCAUCCAUCAGUAGAACCUUGAAUAACAAACCAGAGUUCACAAACAAAUGAGCUACUGCUCAGCAAUAAUGAUAGAGAGUGACCCACUGAGGCAGGUAACAACACAGGAGAUGCGCAGGUUGGAGAUGCAGCCCACAGAGCUGAUGGCACUGUGGAGCCAUGGAAGGUAUCUGAUGUCAAAAUAAAGAAGGUAGCAGUGAGAGAUGAAGCAAGAGGGCGCUGUGGGGCCAUGCCAUAAGGAACCAGGAAGAAAGUCACCAUGCAUGACUAUGCAAAUCAAGCAACACCGGUGGGUACCCAGUGAAGAGCAGAAGUGUCUUCCUGGCAAGUGCUGCAUCUGGGGAGAAGGGAGGCCCUUUGCCAUUUUGCACAAAAUUCCUUGUCCUGAAAAGGAUCAUUGUUAUUUUUCCCCUGUGAUUCAGAUGCUUUUUGGAUGAAUUAUAAGGAUUUGGGCCGUUAUUCUAAAGGCACUGCCGGCCACUGACAUACACCAUGCAGUUUCCCCAAUUUAACUCCGUCUGUGCAGUCCUUCCUCCCAUACCACUUACGGGCACUGGAAAAGGAGCCACUGCCAACCUUGGACUUCUCUGCCACCCUUAAAGCAGACUGGGGAGCAUCUGUGAGGGGAUGUUCCUUGGACAUCACAGGGUGGCCAGCUCCACACCGUCUGCAGCAUAUCACUGUCACCAGUGAUGGAUCACGGCAUUGUUAGAAGGCUGAAGGGACCUCGCAAGUGAAGCAGGUUCCAGUUGCUUGGCAGUGAAGAAAGGUUAGGCUGUUCCCAGAGACUCCACAGCUUUGCACAAGCAGCCUUUGGGGUGAUGGACCAAAGACCAGAAAGUCUUCACCAGAUGCCAGGGGAGGCAUCCAGGAGGAUCUCUUCCUUCCCUCCUCCCAACCCACCCUGCAUCUCAGCUCUUCUCAACAGAAUUCCGUGGUUGGCUGAAUAUCUUAGGAACUGCCCUACCAUUGUGAGGUAAGAAAGCGAAAUAUAAAUAAACAGCAUUCCAGUUAGCUGGGAGGUGAACUAAGGACUGGACCAUUUUUCUUGGGUAGGUCCACACCAGCCCUCCCUCCCUCCUCCUGAGGUGCUCUGAGCCCACUAAGAGACUCUUCUCUACUCCAGGCUCCAAGAUGGGGGAUAAUCAGGGAGGUCAGUGGUCUUCAGCAGCAAAGUAGGCCAGGUAUUGGUCCCUACAGCAUAAAGGCCUGGAUCUCUUUGAUUGCCUGCCUGGCCUUCAAAACCCUUCUGGGCCAGUUGAGUGCUGCCUGGUUUCCGGGUGGAGUACCCCCUCCCACACCUCAUUCCUCUGUGCUUCAUUGCUAAGAACUCUUGACAUUUCCGGCAGGCUCUCCUGGGGAAGAUAAUUUGCAAAAUUUUUCUCUAGUCUUAAUCUUCAUCUUGACUUAAUAAAAUAAACUAUGAGAUAUUUACACUGUAGCUGGAUGAAAGACUACACCUGCAUUGCUAAUACAUUUUAUCAUGUUUUAUGUCUUUUUUUGGACAGAGUCUAUGUAGUUCAGGCUGGCUGUGAAAUCUCCUUGAAUUCUUGGUGAUCCUUCAGCCCCAGCCUCCUGACUAUUGGGAUCACAGGUGUGUGCCAUCACACCCAGCUAUGUUUUAUGUCUAAUCACAUCUUUUGCCAUUCAUACCAUUUCUGCUCUGGAAAAUCAGGAUACUGAUGUGACAGGAACACAUUAAGCCACAUUCUCAUGGGUACAGAGAAGUCUGUAGUUCUGUCCAGGCCACAGCAUUGUUUGCAGAGGCAGCCAUUCCCAAGGGACAUUGGGAAGUAGCUCCGGUGUCUGCAUGUGAUGCUCACCCAGCACAUCCAACUGGACUGCAGGCUCUUCCUCCUCGAUCUGCUCCAUUUAGCUGGUGCUAAUUGCUCCAUACCCAAUCAUGACACAAGAAAAAUCAGAGGUGAUUGUGAGGAUGGUUCUGAAGCUGGGUCUUCCUAAUUUGAUGCACUGAUACACUUCACAUGACAUUGAGGAAAUCGAAACAUAAGUGACCCAAAAUGAACCUACAUCAUGCAUAAUUACCUUGCAAUGAAAAUAAUAUAAUUCCAAACUAUUAAAUUAAAGUGAUUUCCCACAUUUGAGAAUUAAGGAUCUUCCAUAAGAACAAAUUCUCUCUCACUCUCUUCAAACAGAUGGGUUAUUAUAGCCUCAGGGGUCUCUCUUCAACCUAACUAAAGGUGAGUCCUAUUAUAAGUUUAUCUUAGUUUUAAACUCUAUCAAACCUUUGACUUCAUUAAUAUUUUACACAGCUCAUCUGUCUCAUUUUGAGCCCCUGGGUUUUAGAAUUCUUAAAGUCUUUUUUUUUUAACCUCCGAUCUUUGGUGAGAGCAAUGUUUUAAUUAUACAUAAAAAUUUUCCAGCUCUAAUUUUGUAGUCUCUCCUCUGUUAUCGUCACCUAUGCAUCUGCAAACACUUAAACACACCUGUUCUGAGAAGACAUCAGAUACUAUCCUGACACUCUAAAGGAAGAACCACCUCAAAAUUAACAGGCUUUUCUCAUGGCUUAAAAAUUUAACUGAGAGCUCAGGUUGUAGCUCAGAGUGCAGCCCUCAGCAUCACCAGAGCCUGGGUUCCAUUACAAAAGAAAAAAACUAAGUGAAAAUAUAUUUUGCCUUCUUACAUGAUCUUUUCAAAUGUUCCCUGUGUGUCAUAUUUUCAUAUUUUUAUCGAGUGGCCAGCAGCCCAACCUGCAGAGAGCACAGAGCCUGCUGCUGGUCUCUGGUGCCCUGUUCUUCAGCCUGUGGGGUACAGGAGUAGGAUAAAGACCCAGGAGGUCUGUCCAACCUGGUCCAAGGCUAAUGGACCAAAAUGGAGGGGGAAGACUAUAAGUGGAGACAGGAGAUGCAAACUAAGUGGACAGAGAGCAAGAUGAGGAGGCUGCCAGCAGAGAUGGAAACAAACCCUGGAGUGUGAGCCACACCUAGAGAAACCCCAGGCCCCAGGAGAACAUUGUAGGUGAGCAGAGGCCUCUGCUGUAUUUCUGUGAGGCCUCAGAAGUUUGGCUUAGCCCCCGCUGGGGGAGGACUGGACAGCUCACUGUCACAGACGGCUGGUGGUCACUCUGGUGAGAACCCCCG